GCCCAAAUAGUGUAACGGUUAACACGUCUCUACAGUUUCGCUUUGGAGAGGAACUUCAUUAUGGGGAAUUCCUCUGGUUCGACUCCAGAUUUGGGCU